CCAAUAGCGUAUAUUAAAGUUGUUGCAGUUAAAAAGCUCGUAGUUGAAUUUCGGGGUCAGUAGGUUGGUCAUGCCACUGGUAUGUACUGGUCUCACUGAUUCCUCCUUCCUGAUGAACUGUAAUGCCAUUAAUUUGGUGUUGCAGGGAAUCUGGACUGUUACCUUGAAAAAAUUAGAGUGUUUAAAGCAGGCUAACGCCUGAAUACAUUAGCAUGGAAUAAUGAAAUAGGACGUUCGAUCCUAUUUUGUUGGUUUCUAGGAUUGACGUAAUGAUUAAUAGGGAUAGUUGGGGGCAUUAGUAUUCAAUUGUCAGAGGUGAAAUUCUUGGAUUUAUUGAAGACUAACUACUGCGAAAGCAUUUGCCAAGGAUGUUUUCAUUAAUCAAGAACGAAAGUUAGGGGAUCGAAGACGAUCAGAUACCGUCGUAGUCUUAACCAUAAACUAUGCCGACUAGGGAUCGGAUGAUGUUAAUUUUUUAAUGACUCAUUCGGCGCCUUACG
rnacentral:rRNA from 1 species